ensembl:snoRNA U3 Small nucleolar RNA U3
AUAAAAAUGAAUUAAUGAUUUGAUUAAACAAUACAUCCUCACGAUGAUGAGUCGUGAUGUUACCUUCUGAGCGUGAAGCAGACAGAGAAUAAUGAUUCAGUUCAUAUGUUGUUUGUCAGUGAUGAUCAUUCUGGGGAGUAUUGAGGAAAGGAAUUUGAUCAGAGUGGU